UAACCCAUUGCUCCUUUUCUUAGCUCGAUUAUAACCCAUUAUUGCUCCUUUCGCUGGCCUUAGUUUCUACUUUUACGCUUGAACUUCUGUAUGGUUGGUGCUGCGACAAUGGCGGUUUCUGGUAGGAAACAGGGCGGUUUCUCCCAACUUAAGUUUACAGCGGAAACACCGCAUUUCUUUAAAAUAAUCCUACAGGAUUCUCUUCGAGAUGGAAAGUUUAAAAUACCCGAGAAGUUUUGGCAAAAGUUUGGCAGUGGGAUAUCGAGUUCAGUAAAACUUGUUACUCCUUGCGGCGCAGUAUGGAGAGUAGGAGUGACAAAGAAUGACCUUGAGGGUUGGCUGCAACAUGGAUGGAGGGAAUUUUCUGAGCAUUAUUCUUUAAGUCGUGGAGAUUUAGUUGUUUUCAGAUACGAUGGAGAUGGAAUAUUUUAUAUUACCAUUUUUGAUAUGACUGCUACUGAGAUCGACUAUCCAUUCGUUGGCUCAAAUGGUGAAGUUUUCGGUCCCAGAGAAGAAGGAACUAAGGAAAGGCCUUGCAGGAAACGCAGAGACAAGUCGCCAUUGCCAUGUCCUAAGCCCUUCAAGUCAAUCAAAACCUAUCCAGCAUCUGAGAAAGUUGGAGGUAAAAAUUGUGAUGACUCGUUGGCAGCGGAUGAAAAAUCUAAAGCUAUUCAGAAGGCCAUUGCUUUCAAAUCCAACAAUCCCUUUUUCCUGAUUGUCAUGCAACCAUCUUAUAUUAAUUCAGCAUUGACGAUACCUGUUUGGUUUGUUAAGAAAUAUCUCACUGAGAAGCAUGGGGAAAUGAUCCUUCAGAUUUUAGAUGGGACUAGUUGGACUGUUGGUUAUGAUGUUGCAGUGUGGAACCGUAGAACACAUGGGAGAUUUUAUUGCAAAUGGAAGGCAUUUGCAGAGGAUAACAAUCUUGAAGUUGGGGAUGUUUGUGUUUUUGAACUGAUUAAAAGAGCUCAACUUAUGUUCAAAGUAAUCAUUUACCGAAAUAAUGGCAGUCCGAAUUGUUACCAAACACAAGGCAUGUCGUCUACUACUAGAAAAUGCCUAAACUCAGAGGAAUGCCCGACUGUCCAACCGACAACUUGGAACAAAAUAGCUUGUCAGAGACCUCUUGUUUUUAACUCAAAAAAUCCCUUCUUUGUGGUUGUGAUGAAACCAUGUCAUGUUAAUCCCAAAAAAACUAACUCGCAAAUUCCUAAGGGGUUUGCAGAGAGGCAUUUAAAAGAGGGCAAGGGGGAAGUACAUCUUCAAACCCAAGAUGGGAGGAGUUGGGAUCUUCAGUACAAUGUGCAUGUCUCUGGGGGUCGGCUUAGAGCUCAUUUUGAUUCUCGUUGGAGAACAUUUGUACAGGGCAAUAAUCUGAAAGCAGGUGAUACUUGUUUCUUUGAGCUGAUUCCGGGCCCUAAAACUAUGUUUAAUGUUGUUAUCAAACGAGCCAAAAAAGAUGCAAAUCAUGGAUUAACUACUAGAUAUGAAGGUGAAUGCAGAAAACUGAAGAUGGAAACAGGUGUUGAGACAACCCAGAAACAUUCUUCUCAAGCUACUGCAUCUGGUAGAGAAUUUGGCUCUAAGUAGCCGUUCUUCAUGGUUGUUAUUAGCCGACGUUGUCUCAAGCGUCGUUGUGUGUGCAUACCAACACGUUUUGUAAAGGAAUAUAUAAAGAAGCAUGCCAUUUGCGCUGCACUCGAAACUGCAGGCAGAUCAUGGGCGGUCAAAUUAAUUUAUUCUGGGGGUAAAUUUAUGUUAUCGACUGGUUGACCUGCAUUUGCUAGAGAAAAUUCUUUGCAACAAGGAGACGUUUGCGCCUUUAAGCUGAUGAAAAGAAGCGAUAUAGUAUUGGAAUCUCGGGGCAGUAGUAGAUAAGAGGGUGUUGAGGAGAUGAUAUUUUUGUAUUUGGCAUGCGUAGGAAACCUGAUGAAGAUGAUCAACGACUUUGGAUGCCAUCAAAAGCAUGAUCUUUGAAUUUAGAUCUUAGAGUAUGCAACCCAAACCUAGAAGAUAAGGAAGGUUUUGGAGGGGACAUAUGUGCUAUCCAAAAGGGUUUUGAAUGCUGUAAAUCUUCCUUUAAUUUUGUUUUCUUUGUGUAGGUAUCUUCUACAAGUGCCGAAUAUUUUCCUCG